UCCUGCGGCGAUAGCGUGUAGCACCAGUUCUACAUGGAUCACUGAAGUUAAGCAAAGUUGCGCGUGGUUGGUAUACGGAUGGAUGACCCUCUUGGCAAUCGCGUGCUGCUAGCU
rfam:Asian citrus Psyllid, Diaphorina citri - Florida Strain, whole genome shotgun sequence.